rnacentral:piRNA from 1 species
UGGCUUGAAAGGUGCGGUUCCUGCU